CCCUUAGAUGUUCUGGACCGCACGCGCGCUACACUGAUGAAUUCAACCAGCCUAGCCUUGUCCGAAAGGUCCGGGUAAUCUCUGAAACUUCAUCGUGAUGGGGAUAGAUCAUUGCAAUUAUUGAUCUUCAACGAGGAAUUCCUAGUAAGCGCAAGUCAUCAGCUUGCGUUGAUUACGUCCCUGCCCUUUGUACACACCGCCCGUCGCUUGUACCGAUUGGAUGGUCCGGUGAAAUCUUCGGAUAGCUGGUAGUUGGCUUGCCAUCUGCUGCUAAAAGUUGCUUAAACCUUAUCAUCUAGAGGAACAAGAAGUCGUAACA
rnacentral:rRNA from 1 species